GACGAACGCUGGCGGCGUGCUUAACACAUGCAAGUCGAACGAUGAACCCGGAGCUUGCUCCGGCGGAUUAGUGGCGAACGGGUGAGUAACACGUGAGUAACCUGCCCUUGACUCUGGGAUAACUGCGGGAAACUGUAGCUAAUACCGGAUACGACCCUCGGCGGCAUCGCCAGGGGGUGGAAAGAAUUUCGGUCAAGGAUGGACUCGCGGCCUACCAGCUAGUUGGUGAGGUAACGGCUCACCAAGGCGACGACGGGUAGCCGGCCUGAGAGGAUGACCGGCCACACUGGGGCUGAGACACGGCCCAGACUCUAACGGGAGGCAGCAGUGGGGAACAUUGCACAAUGGGCGCAAGGCUGAUGCAGCAACGCCGCGUGAGGGAUGACGGACUUCGGGUUGUAAACCUCUUUUAGUAGGGAAGAAGCGUAAGUGACGGUACCUGCAGAAAAAGCACCGGCUAACUACGUGCCAGCCGCCGCAGUAA
rnacentral:rRNA from 1 species